rnacentral:rRNA from 1 species
CGAAAGGAACGCUAAUACCGCAUACGUCCUACGGGAGAAAGCAGGGGACCUUCGGGCCUUGCGCUAUCAGAUGAGCCUAGGUCGGAUUAGCUAGUUGGUGAGGUAAUGGCUCACCAAGGCGACGAUCCGUAACUGGUCUGAGAGGAUGAUCAGUCACACUGGAACUGAGACACGGUCCAGACUCCUACGGGAGGGCAGCAGC